rnacentral:rRNA from 1 species
CGCAUAUACUCUUGCUACAUAAGUAGAGUAGAGGAAAGGAGCAAUCCGCUUUACGAUGAGCCUGCGGCCUAUUAGCCUGUUGGUGGGGUAACGGCCUACCAAAGCUACGAUAGGUAGCCGACCUGAGAGGGUGACCGGCCACAUUGGGACUGAGAUACGGCCCAGACUCCUACGGGAGGCAGCAGCUGAGAAUCUUCCACAAUGGACGAAAGUCUGAUGGAGCGACAUCGCGUGAGGGAUGAAGGCCUUCGGGUUGUAAACCUCGGAAAUUAUCGAAGAAUGAGUGACAGUAGAUAAUGUAAGCCUCGGCUAACUACGUGCCAGCAGCCGCGGUAAUACGUAGGAGGCAAACGUUGCUCGGAUUUACUGGGCGUAAAGGGUGAGUAGGCGGACUUAUAAGUCUAAGGUGAAAGACCGAAGCUCAACUUCGGAAACGCCUCGGAUACUGUAAGUCUUGGAUAUUGUAGGGGAUGAUGGAAUUCUCGGUGUAGCGGUGGAAUGCGCAGAUAUCGAGAGGAACACCUAUAGCGAAGGCAGUCAUCUGGGCAUUUAUCGACGCUGAAUCACGAAAGCUAGGGGAGCAAACAGGCUUAGAUACCCUGGUAGUCCUAGCCGUAAACGUUGUACACUAGGUGCUUCUAUUUAAAUAGGAGUGCCGUAGCUAACGUCUUAAGUGUACCGCCUGAGGAGUAUGCCCGCAAGGGUGAAACUCAAAGAAAUUGACGGGUCCCCGCACAAGUGGUGGAGCAUGUGGUUUAAUUCGAUGAUACGCGAAAAACCUUACCUGGGUUUGAAUUGUAAGAUGAAUGAUUUAGAGAUAAGUCAGACCGCAAGGACGUUUUACAUAGGUGCUGCAUGGCUGUCGUCAGCUCGUGUCGUGAGAUGUUGGGUUAAGUCCCGCAACGAGCGCAACCCUCACCCUUUGUUGCUACCGAGUAAUGUCGGGCACUCUUAGGGGACUGCCUACGUUCAAGUAGGAGGAAGGUGGGGAUGAUGUCAAGUCCUCAUGGCCCUUAUGUCCAGGGCUACACACGUGCUACAAUGGCAAGUACAAAGAGAAGCAAGACCGCGAGGUGGAGCAAAACUCAAAAAAGUUGCCUCAGUUCGGAUUGGAGUCUGAAACUCGACUCCAUGAAGUUGGAAUCACUAGUAAUCGUAGAUCAGAACGCUACGGUGAAUACG